rnacentral:rRNA from 1 species
GACGAGCGGCGGACGGGUGAGUAAUGUCUGGGAAACUGCCUGAUGGAGGGGGAUAACUACUGGAAACGGUAGCUAAUACCGCAUAACGUCGCAAGACCAAAGAGGGGGACCUUCGGGCCUCUUGCCAUCAGAUGUGCCCAGAUGGGAUUAGCUAGUAGGUGGGGUAACGGCUCACCUAGGCGACGAUCCCUAGCUGGUCUGAGAGGAUGACCAGCCACACUGGAACUGAGACACGGUCCAGACUCCUACGGGAGGCAGCAGUGGGGAAUAUUGCACAAUGGGCGCAAGCCUGAUGCAGCCAUGCCGCGUGUAUGAAGAAGGCCUUCGGGUUGUAAAGUACUUUCAGCGGGGAGGAAGGCGAUAAGGUUAAUAACCUUGUCGAUUGACGUUACCCGCAGAAGAAGCACCGGCUAACUCCGUGCCAGCAGCCGCGGUAAUACGGAGGGUGCAAGCGUUAAUCGGAAUUACUGGGCGUAAAGCGCACGCAGGCGGUCUGUCAAGUCGGAUGUGAAAUCCCCGGGCUCAACCUGGGAACUGCAUUCGAAACUGGCAGGCUAGAGUCUUGUAGAGGGGGGUAGA